AUGGCAAAGUUCUGGUGGAGUGGCUCCCUGGAUCGUCGAUCUCUUCAUUGGGUGGCGUGGGAGAAACUUGCUACUCCGAAAGCUCGUGGUGGAAUGGGCUUUCGUGACUUGAAGCUUUUCAAUUUGUCGCUGCUCGGUAAACACGGUUGGAGGUUUAUUACUAAGCCAGAGUCGCUUUGUGCUCGGGUAAUGAAGGGCCGGUAUUGUCCUGACAGUGAUUUCAUGGAGGCCACGGUGCCAAAGACUUCCUCUGCCAUAUGGCGAGCGAUAGUGGCUGGUAAGGCGAGCCCCGCCUUGAUCAAGAGGGUAGGAGACAGCUCCACAAUUUCAUUUUGGCAUGAUAGAUGGAUUCCAGGUCUUGCUACUCUGUCGCCCAUGGUUGUACCGGGGGGGACACUGUUAGGGAACGUAGUAAUUUCAAAAAAAUUCCUACGCACACGCAAGAUCAUGGUGAUGCAUAGCAACGAGAGGGGAGAGUGCUUUCCACGUACCCUCGUAGACCGAAAGCGGAAGCGUUAG
rnacentral:rRNA from 1 species